rnacentral:tRNA from 1 species
AGCAGAGUCAGCUAAUUGCCAAGCUGCUGGGCCCAUACCCCAGAAAUGAAGGUUAGACCCCCUCCUCUGCUA